CAGCCCCUGAGGGCAGCGCCCGCGGUACCCGGGCGCGGGAUUAACGUCUCGCUGCGCGGCUCUGACAGCGCGGGGACGGAAUAGCCCCUCACCGCCCGUCGGCAGUGAGGAAGAGGAAGAAAUAACUUCGCCCUGCUGCCACCGAGACGCAAAGGGGAGGGACGAGGGGAGUCUGACGCGGCCGCGGCGCCGUGAGGAAGGGACGCACAGCACAUAGGGAAGCCCCAGCAGGCGGCAGGAAAUCCUCGCCUUGGUGGUCCUGAAGGAGUUGAAGCAGCCCCCGCUUGAGGAAAACCCACACGGAGCAGCUACAGAGACACAGGCGAAAGCCCACGCGCUCCAGGAAGGAAAUACAAGAUACUUUUUUUCUUACCAGUUUGGGCCCUUGGAGCAGCGAGGGGCAUCGGCUGCCCCAGCCAAGCUCCUGGAUCCGCUUUGCUUCGUAGCCCGGAAGCAGCAGGACCUGUAACGGAGACGGAUUUUUAGAAACAGUCCUGGGCAGGGGAGAUUUCAGCCGUUACGUUAACAGCCGAACUAACGACCUAACGCUAUUCAAGAAGCAUGUCUUAAUAAACUCAAAGCCAUUAAAAAAAUUUUUUUUGAAUCAGAGAAUCAAACUCAGCCUCUUGCUCCUCUCCAUCAGCUCUCUUGGAUCACCUCUGGUUUCCCUAUGCUGCAGAAAUGAGGGAACAAGAGUAAAUCCCUGGAAGUCGAGUUUUACCCUGGCAGGGAGACCGGUUUUAAUACGGUUUUAAUACCCUCAGGAGACCUUCGGGGAGAGCCACGUUGCUGCGUAGAUCAAAAUCUGCCUAGAAGUCAUCAAGAAACUGAGAAUUUAACCCUCUUCCCAGCAACCUACCAGCCACUCUGCCUGCAGAAAAAAAUAUUACUGGGUUAAUGCAUUUAUUCCACUUGCAGUGUCUUGGGGGCAGAAGCUCUUGAUUUUGCAGACUGCAGCCACUGCCUGUAUUAGAGGCCGUGGCACUAGGACCAAGGCGAGAGCCUCUCUUGGGAAAGGGGAACAUUUGCACUUUCUGCAAGAUUAACACAUCAGAGCUUGCAUGUCUGCAACGGCUUCGUUUUCCCAUUUAGUGCCACUAUAUCCCUGCCAACUUUGGACUGAAAGUCAUUUCCAUACCUCCUUACUCUAUUACAGUUAAUAGAAUAUAAAGUUCCUUUCGCAGAGUUUCCACCCUUCGCUUCAGUAAUCGCUUCGUGUUCUGCUGGAUUCGCUGUACCUCGGCACGCAGCCGUGCUCACGCAAAGCACGUCGUCCCCCGUCGCCCUGCCCCGCGCCUUGCCAAAACCUUUUCUCGGCAACGGUGGCGUCUGGCAGGGCCGUCGUCCGCGGGGAAGGAGUCACUCCGCGCGGCGCUUCCACGUCUGCGCGGUUCGAGGCCGCCGGAAAAACGGGGCUGUCCGUGCUGGUGCCCUGGCACCGCCAGGCUUCUCUCCGCUGGACUGGAGUAUCCACUGCUAAGGAGACUCUGCUUACCGAAACAAGCUCGGUUCAACUUGGCAAUUACCAGAUAAAACAGUCGCUAGUGAAUUCAGUACCUCAGUACCAGCGGGAAGAAACUCUAGUUAAAAAGCCGGAAUCUUGGCAUUCAGCAAACACACUUUCCGUGAAGAAGAGAAGAAACGCAGCAGAGAAGGUGCAUUUUAAUCAGAUACGGUUUUAAUAAAAUGUACAUGUUUACAACUUGAA